UACGAAGGGGGCUAGCGUUGUUCGGAAUUACUGGGCGUAAAGCGCACGUAGGCGGAUACGUAAGACAGGGGUGAAAUCCCGGGGCUCAACUCCGGAACUGCCUUCAUGACUGCAUGGCUCGAGGACGGGAGAGGUUGGCGGAAUUCCGAGUGUAGAGGUGAAAUUCGUAGAUAUUCGGAAGAACACCAGUGGCGAAGGCGGCCAACUGGCGCGUUUCUGACGCUGAGGUGCGAAAGCGUGGGGAGCAAACAGG
rnacentral:rRNA from 1 species